rnacentral:ncRNA from 2 species
GUCUUCGAGGAGCGUUGCGACGGGUACCGCGAAUCCGCAUUCGCCGGCCGCCCGCCAGGCUCGAAGGCUUCAAUCGGCAGCAUGGAACGCGCAUCGCGCGAUUCCGAACGCUGCCUCAAACCGCGCUCACGUCAC